rnacentral:misc_RNA from 1 species
AAAAAAAAAAAAAAAAAAGAAAUGCAGCUGCUCUCCCCCUCCUCUGCUGCUGCUGCUUCUCCUUCCGCCUCCUCGAAAGCAAAUUUCAGUCUCUUCACUUCCUCGCAAAACACUAACCAAAAAUGCAUUAAGUACCCCUCAAAAUUGUCCUUCAAAAUCCCCACCAGGAACCUUUCAAUCCCAUCUUCCUCCAAGCAAUCUUCUCCGGUUCUCGACCAAAGACCACUCUCCUCCGAAUCAUCGCCCAGAAACAGAGAAACUGAAGGCAAUAUCAAGUCGGAGAAAGACUCUUUGGAAGGACUUCUUGUGGCUCGCCGGCCGGUGGUUGAGGUUUCUGGUACUGAAGACUCCAGUCAAGGUAGUGAUAAUAAUGUUGAUGAUGGUGAGAAGAAAUCUUCAGCGAUCAUCGAUGCUGGUCUCGAGGAGUUUGCCAAGAAGAUGCCAAUUUUUGAACCGGAGAGAGUGCAGGUAGUUGGUUCUUCUCAAGACAAGCCUCUCACAGUGAAUUUGGAUUUGGCACUGUACAAGGCCAAGGUUUUAGCUAGGAAUUACAGAUAUCCAGAAGCUCAAGAGAUACUAGAAAAGUGUAUCAGUUAUUGGCCGGAAGAUGGGAGGCCAUAUGUGGCUUUGGGGAAGAUAUUGAACAAGCAAUCAAAAAUAGCAGAUGCUAGAGCUGUGUACGAGAAGGGCUGCCAGGCAACUCUUGGUGAAAAUGCCUACAUUUGGCAGUGCUGGGCUGUUUUGGAAAAUAAGAUGGGUAAUAUAAGGAGAGCAAGAGAACUGUUUGAUGCUGCCACAGUUGCUGACAAAAGACAUACAGCUGCUUGGCAUGGUUGGGCAGUUCUAGAGCUAAAACAGGGAAAUGUCAAGAAGGCAAGACAAUUACUUGCCAAAGGCCUUAAGUUUUCUGGUGGAAAUGAGUACAUAUACCAAACACUAGCAUUGUUGGAAGCUAAAGCAAAUCGAUAUGAGCAAGCCCGUUACUUGUUCAGGCAAGCCACUAAGUAUAACCCAAAAAGCUGUGCCAGUUGGCUUGCAUGGGCACAAUUGGAGAUGCAACAAGAAAACAACCUUGCUGCUAGGCAACUAUUUGAGAAAGCAGUGCAGGCUAGCCCCAAGAAUAGGUUUGCAUGGCACGUAUGGGGAGUUUUUGAAUAUAAUAUGGGCAAUAUUGAAGCGGCAAGAAAACUUUUGAAGAUAGGCCACUCACUCAAUCCAAGGGAUCCUGUUCUGCUUCAAUCUCUUGCUUUACUGGAAUAUAAACACUCUACUGCAAAUCUUGCACGGGUGUUAUUCAGGAGAGCAAGUGAAUUGGAUCCAAGGCAUCAACCAGUAUGGAUUGCCUGGGGAUGGAUGGAAUGGAAAGAAGGAAAUAUAUCCACCGCUAGAGAGUUAUACCAGAAAGCUCUUUCAAUUGACUCAAGUAGUGAAAGUGCUGCUAGAUGUCUACAGGCUUGGGGUGUUCUAGAGCAGAGAGUUUGUAACCUGUCAUUAGCUCGUAGACUAUUUAGAUCAUCAUUGAAUAUAAAUUCUCAAAGUUACAUAACUUGGAUGACCUGGGCUCAAUUGGAGGAGGAUCAAGGAAAUUCUGUGCGUGCUGAGGAGAUUCGUAACCUUUAUUUUCAGCAGGUCAGUAGCUGCCUUCUUGCCUGCAGCAACAUUGUUUUCCCCUCAAGUAUUUGCCCAUCUUCAAGCUGACCUUAUCUUUAUAUUAAAUAUUAUCCUCAGUUCCCUGUAACCUUGCAAAAGCAAAAAAAGUUCUCAAGCAGCCUUAAAUCAUGUUUACAUUUGCACAGCUUCUCAAAACAUGAACCAACUUUAAUUGCAAGUUUUAAUAAUUUCAAGAACUUCACAUCUUAAAGGUAAAUAUAUUUUCAUCGUGUUUCACAGCGGACUGAAGUUGUGGAGGAUGCUUCAUGGGUUAUUGGGUUUCUAGACAUCAUUGAUCCAGCACUUGACAGCAUAAAGAAACUCUUGAACUUGGAUCAGAACCUAUACAGUAAGACACAAGAAUCUUUGAAAAGUAUAUCAGGAGAAAGUGAAAAUGGUAGUGAUGGUGGUCCUUCUAGUGAUAAUGAUGCCAAUGCUAUAAGAAGUGGCUUUGAUUUGAAUUCUUUUAUUAAAGAAAGGUUGUCUCUAGAUCCAACGAAGUUGGAUAUUCAGCUAGAAACAUCUGGGACUCCUGCACCAUGGAGAGUGUCCCAAAGAAGAAUAUGGAGAUCAAAGAAAGAAACUACGACAAAAGUGUCAGAUGCCGGGAUUUGACAAGUUAAAUUGUGAGAGUGGCUGUGGAGUGGAAUGCAAGCUGCAGCUACUUGAGGCCAAGUUAAUUUUUCUGAACUUUACUCAUUGACAUCAACAACUACUAUAUGAGGAUGUGCAGACAAUCUAUAAAGUUGUUUAUCCCCAAAGAAUAUGAGAAAAUUGGGUAUUUCUGUAUCAACUCAUUUACAUUGUAGACUCUAUUAUUACCUGUUGUAGUUGCAAUACUUCCAGAUUCUGUUAAAUAAAAAUUUUUAUUCUCAC